rnacentral:lncRNA from 1 species
CAAUUGUCUACCUGUUUCGCGGACAGUCGCAUCUAAUUAUCAAGAAGAAAAUGU